AUAAAUGAAUGUUUCAGCUGUCGGGAAAUGUGUGAGUAAAUACGGUGUCUUGAUUUUUAAUUAAUGUUAAAGACAACUUAGGAACAGCAUGCAAAAGUCAACUACAUGAAAGUGUCAACACGUUUGUAA